rnacentral:tRNA from 1 species
GCGCCCGUACCUCAAUUGGAUAGAGGACCGGUCUACGAAACCGACUGUUGUGGGUUCGAAUCCCGCCGGGCGCG